AUUGAACGCUGGCGGCAUGCCUUACACAUGCAAGUCGAACGGCAGCACGGGAGCAAUCCUGGUGGCGAGUGGCGAACGGGUGAGUAAUAUAUCGGAACGUGCCCAGUCGUGGGGGAUGACGCAGCGAAAGCUGUGCUAAUACCGCAUACGAUCUACGGAUGAAAGCGGGGGAUCGCAAGACCUCGCGCGAUUGGAGGGGCCGACAUCAGAUUAGCUAGUUGGUGAGGUAAAGGCUCACCAAGGCGACGAUCUGUAGCUGGCCUGAGAGGACGACCAGCCACACUGGAACUGAGACACGGUCCAGACUCCUACGGGAGGCAGCAGUGGGGAAUUUUGGACAAUGGGCGCAAGCCUGAUCCAGCAAUGCCGCGUGCAGGAUGAAGGCCUUCGGGUUGUAAACUGCUUUUGUACGGAGCGAAACGGUCUUUCCUAAUACGAGAGGCUAAUGACGGUACCGUAAGAAUAAGCACCGGCUAACUACGUGCCAGCCGCCGCAGUAA
rnacentral:rRNA from 1 species